rnacentral:rRNA from 1 species
GACGAACGCUGGCGGCGUGCCUAAUACAUGCAAGUCGAACGCAGUGGGGACGGGUGAGUAACACGUGGGUAACCUCCCAUCAGAGGGGAUAACACUUGGAAACAGGUGCUAAACCGAUACUGAUGGAUGGACCCGCGGUGCCUUAGCUAGUUGGUGAGGUAACGGCUCACCAAGGCCACGCUGCCUAGCCGACCUGAGAGGGUGAUCGGCCACACUGGGACUGAGACACGGCCAAGACUCCGACGUGAGGCAGCAGUGGGGAAUCUUCGGCAAUGGGCGCAAGUCUGACCGAGCCACGCCGCGUGAGUGAAGAAGGUUUUCGGAUCGUAAAACUCUGUUGUUAGAGAAGCGUUAUCUAACCAGAAAGCAACGGCUAACUACGUGCCAGCAGCCGCGGUAAUAC